rnacentral:rRNA from 1 species
GUGCCAGCAGCCGCGGUAAUACGGAGGGUGCGAGCGUUGUCCGGAAUCACUGGGCGUAAAGGGCGCGUAGGUGGCGCGGUCAGCGUGUGGUGAAAGCUCGGGGCUCAACCCCGAGUCGGCCAUGCGAACUGCCGCGCUCGAGCACUGUAGAGGCAGAUGGAAUUCCGGGUGUAGCGGUGGAAUGCGUAGAGAUCCGGAAGAACACCGGUGGCGAAGGCGGUCUGCUGGGCAGUUGCUGACACUGAGGCGCGACAGCGUGGGGAGCAAACAGGAUUAGAAACCCUCGUAGUCC